GAUCCUGGCUCAGGAUGAACGCUAGCUACAGGCUUAACACAUGCAAGUCGAGGGGCAGCAUGGUCUUAGCUUGCUAAGGCUGAUGGCGACCGGCGCACGGGUGAGUAACACGUAUCCAACCUGCCGUCUACUCUUGGCCAGCCUUCUGAAAGGAAGAUUAAUCCAGGAUGGGAUCAUGAGUUCACAUGUCCGCAUGAUUAAAGGUAUUUUCUGGUAGACGAUAGGG
rnacentral:rRNA from 1 species